GUCCCGAGCGCUUAAAGGGAGCCGCACGCGGGUUCGUUCGUUCUUUCGCUCGCGCCGCUGCUCGUCUUGUGUUUGGGCUGCGGAGGGGAGGAAGGAAACGAUGAGGCCUUGCAGGCGCCGAGGUUUGUUUCAUUUGCCACGUGGGGCCAGACCUGAAGUGGCAGGAGGGAGGAUGGAUCCUUAGCUGCCCUAAAGGGAGCUAAAGCUGUCCUCUUCCCAAGAGGAGCAUUCCUGAUUCCUGUAGCCCUGGCUUCAAAGAGGGUGAAAAGAAGCAACUGUUUGAUUUCUCCUCUGGGUGGCAGCAGGGUCAAGAACAGAGGGCAAUGGAUUUCCAAGAGCCUGGAAAAGCCAAAUGCUUCCCAACCAAGAGGUUAGUGGCUGGUGACUUGUCAACCACAUACAGCUCAAAAGCGGCCUCCCCAGCAUUUUCUUCAAGGCCUUCCCAGGUGCACCCCACCACCUCUCUCUCUUUGCAUAUGGCAUACCUGGCAGUGUGGCUGUGACUCCAAGAAAACAAGUAGAGGCUCAUUCCAAUCCAACUCAUCUUUGCAAAGUUUUGGGAACAGGGCAGAAGACAGAAACCUGUUUUGAAAAGUCUCUUCUGUAUGUGGCCACAAAUAUGUAUAAGCUGUGAGAGUGAAUAAAACUUAUUUUUGAAUGUA